CCUNANCUNUUCCANGCCUAAUCAUGCAAGNCNACCGUAAGAUGGGAACUUGCUCCCUGAUGUUAGCGGCGGACGGGUGAGUAACACGNGGGUAACCUGCCUGUAAGACUGGGAUAACUCCGGGAAACCGGGGCUAAUACCGGAUGCUUGUUUGAACCGCNGGGUUCAAACAUAAANGGUGGCUUCGGCUACCACUUACAGAUGGACCCGCGGCGCAUUAGCUAGUUGGUGAGGUAAUGGCUCACCAAGGCAACGAUGCGUAGCCGACCUGAGAGGGUGAUCGGCCACACUGGGACUGAGACACGGCCCAGACUCCUACGGGAGGCAGCAGUAGGGAAUCUUCCGCAAUGGACGAAAGUCUGACGGACAACGCCGCGUGAGUGAUGAAGGUUUUCGGAUCGUAAAGCUCUGUUGUUAGGGAAGAACAAGUACCGUUCGAAUAGGGCGGUACCUUGACGGUACCUAACCAGAAAGCCACGGCUAACUACGUGCCAGCACCGCGGUAAUACGUAAGUGGCAAGCGUUUUNCGGAAUUUUGGGCGUAAAGGCUCGCAGCGGUUUCUUAAUCUGAUGUGAAACCCCCGCUCACCGGGAGGUCUUUGAAAUUGGGAAUUNAUUGCAAAAAAGAAAAUGAAUUCCCCUUGNACCGGUAAUGCUU
rnacentral:rRNA from 1 species